GACUCCGAAGCUUGGAGGAAAGAAGCGCCCGUCUAGUGAAUUGGGAGUCGUGGGUUCAAUUCCCACCGGAGUGC
rnacentral:tRNA from 1 species